AGAGUUUGAUCAUGGCUCAGAAUCAACGCUGGCGGCGUGCCUAACACAUGCAAGUCGAGCGAGAAAGGGGCUUCGGCCCUGAGUAAAGCGGCGCACGGGUGAGUAACACGUGGGUAAUCUGCCUUGGAGUGGGGAAUAACACCGGGAAACCGGUGCUAAUACCGCAUACGAUGACGAGGUCUGCGGAUUUUGUCAUGAAAGGAGCAAUUCGCUCCAAGAGGAGCCCGCGGCUGAUUAGCUAGUUGGUGAGGUAAUGGCUCACCAAGGCAACGAUCAGUAGCCGGUCUGAGAGGACGGUCGGCCACACUGGAACUGAGACACGGUCCAGACUCCUACGGGAGGCAGCAGUGGGGAAUUUUUGGCAAUGGGGGCAACCCUGACCAAGCAACGCCGCGUGGAUGAUGAAGUAUCUCGGUACGUAAAAUCCUUUCGACAGGGACGAAAGCCGCAAGGUUUGACGGUACCUGUAGAAGAAGCCCCGGCUAACUCCGUGCCAGCAGCCGCGGUAAUACGGGGGGGGCAAGCGUUGUUCGGAAUUACUGGGCGUAAAGGGCGCGUAGGCGGUUCGCUAAGUUGGUUGUGAAAACUCUGGGCUUAACCCAGAGCCUGCAUCCAAAACUGGCGGACUAGAGUUUUGGAUGGGGAAGCGGAAUUCCUGGUGUAGCAGUGAAAUGCGUAGAUAUCAGGAGGAACACC
rnacentral:rRNA from 1 species